GUCGUAAGGGCCAUUUAUUCAAUUAUUCAUGCAACCAUUGGGUAGAGGAGCUGCACAUUUCAGUUUCAUUCCAACUGCUUGCAAGUUUACGGUUAAGAACUGCUGUAAGGUCCAGCGAGCUCAGGACUGCCUGCCCCUAUACUGCAGUGUCAGUUAAUUGCAAGGAGCAUGAGGAAUACCUGUCUGUUUCCCUUCUGGCUCCAUGGAAUGUGCACACACUCAGAGGAAGCAGAUCGUGUGUCUCAAAGGCCAUGUACGCUCCACUAAACUGAAAGUAGUAAUCCAGCCUAGUGUAGAUGUGCUCUGGAGCACACGCCUCCCAUCGUCUUCAGAGAGUCUGUGGAAGCAUUCCUGGACAUGGUCAGUGAAGUGGUAUAGCAAUAAUAUUAUAGUAAGCUGCUGCAUGGUUGUUUACAAACACCUCAUGAAAGGCAAAACUGUAUUUAUGAAACUAUACUUAUAAUCACAAACAAGUGGAUAAAUUUAUUAUAAUUUUGGUAUUAUAAAAUAUGCUAGUAUUUGAACAAUUUUUAAUAAAACUCAAAAUACCUUGUGAACA
ensembl:lncRNA